GUGCUGGGGACCCAAGCGGCACCGCGGGGAGGGGGCUCUACGCGCUCAACCCCGUCCCAGGCACUGUCCGCCGCCUCCACCCGCCGGCCUCCCGCAGCCUGGCCAGCGCCAUGAGGACCAAGCAGGUGAACUUGCUGAUCACCCUGGUCGCCGUCGCGUUGUUCAGCUUCUCUUGCUUCUGCAUCUACAGGAUAACUCAAACCAAGUAAUGAAGAUUAUUUACAUUCUGUUGUUAAAAUGAUUACAAAAAAAUUCAAAAGGCAAGUGAGGUCUGGAUCCUUAGAGGUCAUUUCAAUACCUGCCUUUUUAUACUCAAGCAUGUUAAAUGCCAAGCACUUAGCUGAGGCCUCACAAAAAUUAGCCAGGAUUGGGAGAGUUGGGGCAAUGUGUGCUCACAUAUUUCAUCAGAGGCCAAGCAUAAAGUCAGCUUGUGAAGGGAGUUAACAUUGGGUUUCUUCAAGAGGAACAUGAAGAGUUCCAGAGGCUUGUGGAGACUACUUUCAAAAUAAAAACAAAAAAAGCAACCUUUCCCUUCCAAGUAAACCAAGGGUUGGCGAAUCAAACAAGUAUUGGAUUUUUGCAUUUUGAUGCUGUAUGCCCAACCCAAGGCCAAGUAUUAUUUACAGCUAGAAGAUGAUAUCAUAGCUAAAGAGAUGUACUUUACAAAAAUAACAGAUUUUGUAGGUAAUAUCAGUUCAAAUAAUUGGUUUUUUAUUGAGUUUUCAAUGCUUGGAUUCAUAGGUAAGCAAUAGAUCUACUUUGUUGGAUCAAGUUUUUUAGCACACAAUAAUUUAAAACAUUUUAAACAGUUUAUCAGUUUGUUUAUUACUAAAUGAAAAAGAAUGGCAUGAUUUUUAUAAAGACUCUAUUAUCUUAACAGUAUAAUCAGAUACAAGUACCUAAAUUCCAGAUAAUGUAUUUUCUUAAACCAAACUUUUUUCUAGAGAGAUCAAAUUGACAUUUAGAACAUAUGUCAUAGAAACAUAAAAGAGUUACCAUUUAUUAAAUGCUUGCUGUGAGUCUGGCACACAUGUUAGCUGAGUAGCUAAGAUGUGCUUUUCUCUGCUUUACAAGAAUACUGAAACUCAGAUAAUUAAAAUUGUAGAGAAAGGGAUUUUAACUCAGUCACUGCAAUUUCCAGUAUGCUAAAGCUGACAGUUUUAAAAAAUAUAAAAACAUAAUAGAAAUUAUACCCACCACAGAAAAUUUCCAAAUACUGUACCCAUAGUGAGAUUUUUUUUUACUAUCCUUCCAUAGAUUUUCCUUUUAAAUCCUUCAAUUUUUCUUUCUUCAUUUCCAUGCUUUUUUCUUUCCUUUGAACCUCAAGUAUUACCAUACUGCUUAUUUUAUGGUGCAUGACAUUAUUGAUUCAUACAGGAGCUCUUCCUUAUUUAUUCUUUCCUUUUAUUCCCAAUCCCUACACCCUCUUCCUGCCACUCUUCAAUAUAUUGUUCACUCUAAUAUGUUCAAAAUACACUUAUAAAUAUACAAUAUCCAUGUAAAAUAUUUGGUGCUUUUCAUGUUUGUAUAUUCCUAUUCCUUACAUUUUUGUCCUCAAAACUUGAUUUCUAAAUUAUCAGCAUGUUGUUUUAUGUUCAUUUAGUUUAUUGGUUUUUUACUGUUACAUAAGUGCUGCAUAAUGAUGGUCACUGAAAUUUAUGCAUUCAGAAUUGUGCAAAGUGAGGGCUACCUGUUUUGCACAUAGAGAUCAUGCAUAUAAAACUGUAACCUGCUUUUAAUUUUUUUACGUCAACAAUCCCAUGAUCAGCUGUCUUAUAGUCACAUCCAAAUUCACUUCCCGCAUUCACUUUCUGUGCUUUCGCCUGUCAUCCAGUUCUUUCUUUUGAUUACCUACUUUUGUUAAAUGUCAUGUGGAUUUAUCAUCAGAAGGCAAGGCAAGGCAACCACACGUUUUGCUGUCCACAAGUGAACUAAAUACUGGAUGCACAGUGACCCAUCACCAAAAGACUGAAAGAAGUGAUGACUUAUCACUUAUCACUCACAUUUGGCUUAUCUAUUUCCCGAGUGGCAGACCUUAAUUGCUUCCAAUUUUCUGCUACCGUGAAAAAAUGAAGUGACAUAUAUGUCCCCUGGAGUGGACCGCUGAGGAUUCACAUAGCUCUAAGUACUGCCAAUUGCUUUACAGAUUGGCUAUAUGGUUUACGCUCUCAUAAGCAGUGCAUAAAAGUUCGUGCUUCCCCAUACGCUUGACAACACUUGGUUUUAUCUAUUAUUAUAUGUAUAUAUUUGCCAUUCUCAGUAUAAAGCAUUUCUGGGAUUGCUAGUGAGGUCCAUCUGUUUUUCAUAUACUCAUUCGAUGACUUCUGUUUUUCAUGUUUUCUGUAAAAUUUUAAGGGCCCAAAGGUUUUUCCUCAGCCUUGGUUAAAAUAAGAAAGAAAACUAUUGUUAACAGUAAUACCCAAAGUAAAGCAUGGAGACAAAAUAAUCUUGCUGAUGGAUUAGUCUGAGAAUUUAAAAUUCUCAAAAAAAUUUAUCUUUCUCAGCAAAGUCAAGUAAGAGACACAUAGAGAAUACUUACAUUCUGAUCACAAGAGCACAUUGAACAAGGAGCACUAUUUAUGGGAUGCCAAAUCUUAUUCAAGCUUAAACUUACCAAAGUUUUUCUUUUAGUUAUCAUAAUAGCAAUUCGGUUAUUCAUUAUUUGCUAAAAAUAUGAGCUUGCCAACUAGAAUUUUACAGCAUGGUGACAGCAGGUGAGGAAUUGAAUCAGCUAUUUUAUACAUCAUUAAAUCACUUGCUUUGGUUACUACAUAAAUAGGUGCAAAAAAUUAAAAUACAAUUAUACAUUUUAUUAAGUGACCCAUAUAAACUUAAGUUCUAGUGAAGAAUGAAGCAUGCUUACAUCCUACUUUCAUAUUUAUCAAAUCAUUAGAUGUAUUUUACAUUAUUUACUUUGAAGUGAAUGUGUACCUGAAUCUUAUCCCUUCAACUUCAUUUUAGAAUUAAAGAUGCAGUAUAUUAGAAAAAAAUUAUUAGACCUAAUGGAAUAAUAUUUGAAAAUAUAGUAAAUCUUUAAGAAUAACAAAUAUAAAAGAAAAAUAACAUCCUGUUAAAAUAAUGCUCAAAUAUUGAAAUAAGAGAGUACUUUAAUAAAAUUAAGUACUAAAAACGAAAAAUGUAGUAGAUUGAUAAAGUGCUACAAAAAUCAGGUAAAAAAUACAGUUUGUACAAAAUUAAGUAAAAGAUUACAGUGACUAUAUAUUUCAUUCUAUUCACUUAUCUUUCACUUGAUUUAGACAAUCAUUCCUCAUUAGUUAUCACAAUUGAUUUCCUGAGAGUAUUGACUAUUCUACACCUGCUUAUAUUCUCCUUCAGAUGUGGUAAUCCUUAAUACUUAAGCAGAUAUAGUGUUUAAUUUUAUCAUUGUCCAACUUCAGCAGUGCUUUAAUCUUUAUUUCUAAGGAAUGGGACAUAUUUAAAUUUUAAUAACUUUUGCUUUUUCCCAUGUUAAAGGAAUGAACAAGUACAUAUGAAUUAUUUGCAUCUAAUUAUAUUUUUUUUCCAUAGGAAAGCUGUUUAGAUCUGAGGACUUAACUCAGUUUGUACGUUUUUUUUUAAUGUUCUACAAAGAGAAACCCGUAGACUGGCUCUUGAAUGACAUUUUUCAGGUAAAGGUGUGUGACACAGGAGAAGAUCUUGGAGACUGUAUGAAACGAAAGAAGCAAAUACGUAUUCGGUAUAAACCUUCUCUUUUCCGGCAUGUGGGUAUACAUUCAUCAUUCCCUGGAAAAGAACAAUAUGAAAAAAAAGUAUGAAGA
rnacentral:sRNA from 1 species